rnacentral:rRNA from 1 species
GACGAACGCUGGCGGCGUGCCUAAUACAUGCAAGUAGGACGCAGUCGCGAACGGGUGAGUAAAGCGUAUGUAACUGCCUAUUAGAGGGGGAUCACUAUUGGAAACGAUAGCUAAUACAGCAUACUAGUAGAUGGACCUGCGUUGUAUUAGCGAGUAGGUAGGGUAAUGGCCUAACUAGGCAACGAUACCUAGCCGACCUGAGAGGGUGAUCGGCCACACUGGGACAGAGACACAGCGCAGACGCCUACGGGAGGCAGCAGUAGGGAAUCUUCGGGAAUGGGGGGAACCCUGACCUAGCAACGCCGCGUGCGUGAAGAGGGUGUUCUGAUCGUAAAGCUCUGUUGUUAAGGAAGCGGUACUUAACCAAAAAGGGACGGCUAACUACGGGCCAGCAGCCGCGGUAAUUC